UUUCCGUAGGUGAACCUGCGGAAGGAUCAUUCAUAAUAAGUGUUUUAUGGCACUUUUUUAAAUCCAUAUCCACCUUGUGUGCAAUGUCAGGAUUGAUUUUUCUCUCGAGAGGAUCAACCCCAAACAUCAACUAUAUCUCAACUCUUUGUCUGAAAAAUAUUAUGAAUAAAACAAUUCAAAAUACAACUUUCAACAACGGAUCUCUUGGCUCUC
rnacentral:misc_RNA from 1 species